UGGGUUAAGUCCCGCAACGAGCGCAACCCUUAUCCUUUGUUGCCAGCGGUUAGGCCGGGAACUCAAAGGAGACUGCCAGUGAUAAACUGGAGGAAGGUGGGGAUGACGUCAAGUCAUCAUGGCCCUUACGACCAGGGCUACACACGUGCUACAAUGGCAUAUACAAAGAGAAGCGACCUCGCGAGAGCAAGCGGACCUCAUAAAGUAUGUCGUAGUCCGGAUUGGAGUCUGCAACUCGACUCCAUGAAGUCGGAAUCGCUAGUAAUCGUAG
rnacentral:rRNA from 1 species